rnacentral:lncRNA from 1 species
GCUGGAAGGGUCAGCAUCCCUGCUCCCCUGCUAGAAAGCCGUCUAGAGUGGAAGAGGAGGAAGGCAGGAGGCGGGGAGCGGGUGCCGUGGGUGUUAGCGGUGCUGCUUCGGGUGGUCUCUGAGGCUGCUUCCCUGCCCACCCUCGGCAAUGGUUUCCCUGCGCAGCGGCGCGGAGUCUAGCAGGACCCCCAUGGCAGUGUCUGCCCCCUGCCCACCUGGAGGCCGCCCUCAGCAUUUCUCCCAUCUUCCUUCCCACUCCCAUAGACAAAACAAAACACGUCAAAAGCUUUGGAAGACAAGCAAUGAUCCAGAGUCUUGAAGCAGUGUGCCGCGGAAGGUGGCGUAUCCGUGGGACCGACUGCUGGGCAUGGGGCGUCCCAGCCAGCAGAGAGGCAGCACCGGCCCCACUGCCGUCCCUCCUCUCCACCCCUGAGUUCCCACUGUACCAGGAGUGGGCUUGCUGUUCUCUGGCUCCUGCAUCCCUGUGGUGGAAUUUCCUCCCUUCCCCCUGGAGGGAGGGGCUCCCUCACCCUACCCACACCCCAGGUGGAGCUCAGGGAUCCUUCCCUGUGUCCCCUACAAGGCCAGCCCCUCCCAGUGGGACUCGUGUGGGGUCUCCUCCCACCCCAUUCUGUCAACC